UUGCUGCCUGAUCAUUCCUCUGGAAGUU
rnacentral:piRNA from 1 species